UCCGUAGGUGAACCUGCGGAGGGAUCAUUACACAAAUAUGAAGGCGGGCUGGAACCUCUCGGGGUUACAGCCUUGCUGAAUUAUUCACCCUUGUCUUUUGCGUACUUCUUGUUUCCUUGGUGGGUUCGCCCACCACUAGGACAAACAUAAACCUUUUGUAAUUGCAAUCAGCGUCAGUAACAAAUUAAUAAUUACAACUUUCAACAACGGAUCUCUUGGUUCUGGCAUCGAUGAAGAACGCAGCGAAAUGCGAUAAGUAGUGUGAAUUGCAGAAUUCAGUGAAUCAUCGAAUCUUUGAACGCACAUUGCGCCCUUUGGUAUUCCAAAGGGCAUGCCUGUUCGAGCGUCAUUUGUACCCUCAAGCUUUGCUUGGUGUUGGGCGUCUUGUCUCUAGCUUUGCUGGAGACUCGCCUUAAAGUAAUUGGCAGCCGGCCUACUGGUUUCGGAGCGCAGCACAAGUCGCACUSUCUAUCAGCAAAGGUCUAGCAUCCAUUAAGCCUUUUUUUCAACUUUUGACCUCGGAUCAGGUAAGGGAUACCCGCUGAACUUAAGCAUAUCAAUAAGCCGGAGGA
rnacentral:rRNA from 1 species